GCCAGGCUGGCUGCAGCUUCCAGAUCCCAGACCUACAGAGGCCAAGUGGGUAGCUGCAUCUGCCCAGGGCUCCUGCUGCCCUCCGUGCCUGGGGGGCUGGGCCAGCCGCAUGGAUGAUUUCCAGGGUGAUACUAAAAAUAUUGAACGAUGGCAAUAUGCAAUAACAGGGUCCCAGAGGCCUCCUGCUCUACGAGGAGUUACCCUUUAACGUCUGGAUCGCGAGAAGACAUUAGUUCCUGGGGCCGCUGUACCAAAGUGCAGCAAAGUGAGUGACUUAAACAGCAGGUGACAUGGAACUCACAGGCCAGCAGAUCAAAGAAGUAGAAAUGAAGAGCGAGUAAUUAACAGAUGACCAGAUCUCUUCCCUAGCUUCCUCUUCAGUAAUCUCAUGAACAAACUGUGUGAACUAACUGUGUAAACAAGAUAGCAUCCAAAGAAGUCGACGAGUCUGCACACAGUGGGGGGAUGGCUAUGAGUCUCAUCUCCAUCUCAAUGAAAUUACUUCCCCCUUUCCUUUUAAAACUUUCAUGGCCGAACAGAAUCUCGGGAGUCGGUUUUCAGGGAAACGGAGUACACCUUCUCCCGGCUUUCUGAUUAAAAGCAGUGUUUUCUUUUCUACCAAAACCUGCCUCUCGAGUAUUGAUUUUCGAGUGGCGAGCAAAAGACCUAAGUUUGGUAACAGAUUUUUCGCCUUUUUUAGAUUACAGCCAGAGUUCCCUUCCCAAAACAUGCUUUAAAUCACAAUACCCUUCUAUUCAAAAACUGGCAAAGGGUGCCCAGAGUGUGCAGCUAGGCCAAACCCAAUAGCAUGGCUUUCCAGGCCCUCCAGGCUCCAUCCCUGCUUGCUUCUCCAGCCUCACCUUUCACCUUGCAGCGUGAUCAGGGUGUUCAUGAAGGGUCUUGUGCAUGAAUGAACAUGCGGAGGAGCAUGGCAAGUGUCAGAGAGCAGAACUUACUCUCUCAGGCUGCCCUGGAGCGUGACAAGCCACACCUCAGCCAUCCCAAGAGCUUCAGUUGUGUUGGCCCUUUGAAAGCACCUCACUAUAACAGCAGCUUAAGAGCAUCACUUAGCAACUGGUAGUUUUCAACAGGUAAAAACAUGCUCGUGGUGUGUGUCAACCUUUGGUUUCUGGUUAUUUGCCAAGCUGAAAUAGGCAGUGAAAAGGAAGCAAUGUAACACCAUGAUAUCCCAUAGAACAUGGGCUACUCUCCAGUUUCUGAAGAGGAAUUUGAGAUUUUCUUUAUACAAGUGAUACAAGUUGCAGAACAGGUGAGUGGAUACAGGAGAGACCUCUUUGAAGACCAGUAAAGUGGCCGUCCACAGUUAAGUAGAGUUGAUUUCUUCUGGCAUUGCCAAACUUUGGAGUUUCUCCUGUAGGGCCUCCAGACUCCAGCCCUUGGGCACUUGUUCCGGCAGCUCCUUCAGUGGAGGAUGCCCUGUCCCUUCUUCCUCACCUUUUGGAAUUGAGCUCAUCAGUCAAAGCCCUGCUUCAAUGCCUCCUCCUCCAUAAAGCCUUCCUUGAUUUUCUUCUCAGAGUUGCUUCCCCUGCCCCAGGAGAGUUUGCUCAUAUCCUAUUUUAGUGUAAAGUAAUGGAAGUAAACAGAGGCUUGGAUACAGACUCAAGUUUUUGUCCUGGGUCUGCCACAUGUUCGCUUUAAGACGCUGGCCCAAUUACCUAACAUUUCUAAGCCUCUGUUUUUCUCAUCUGUAAAGUGAAUAAUUGGAACUUCCUCAUAAGUUGUUGUAGGAUUAAAUGAGGUUAUACCUGUAAAGUACCGCAGCACUAACAUGUAACAGGCACUCAGCUUAUGUGAGGUAUGUUGAUGAUAGGGUGACGAUGAUCUUGAUUACCUGGUUGAUUCUGUCUUGAAUUACAGGUUCUUUUCACCUGUCUCCUCUACUGAACUAUAACCUCCUAGAAGAAGGAAAUGUUGUUUUGUUUUCUGUAUCUCAAACAUCUAUUGUACCCCUAGACCCUAGUAAGCACUCAGCAAAUGUCUUUUUAAAAUGCAAAAUGAGAUGAAGCAGACCCUAAAACUGAAACAUGAAAACACAUUUCUAGCUCAAUAUUUGGAAAGGACCCACAAUUUCUGGACUCAGCCAGAAGGGUAAUGAUUCUAUCAGAGAAACAUUUUUGCAGAUUUGUUGAAUGUUUUUGCCUGAGCUGCAGCGUGCCAGGGGAAACGUGAGGUCAGACGUACUUCUGACUUGUAUUUUGGAAUUCUUGUUGGCAUUUUGCCCUUGUUGAGUUCCUGUGGUUGUAGCUACAGGAUGCAGGGUGGGGUCACCUGGGAGUCGUUAACCCUGUUUUGGAAGCUGGCACUGCCCUGCUUGUUAAACACUUCCCUCCUCCACACACUAGGUGAUGGGCAGGGAAGGGACCGAGGGAUGGUCCAAGGCCAAUCUCACACACCACCCGUUAAUGUAUUGGUCCAGGGGGAACGGGCUGGCAUGUGUUUUCCCAUUCUUGGCACACAGAAGUGUUUGUUCUGCCAUGUCCAGGACAGCUGCAGGCCUUAAACAAUGGUGUAUGAUAUAUUUGGUAAAGUCUAUUUGAGUUCCAAAGGGUUGCUAAGCAUAUUAAGUAGCUAUCCUCCCUUUUCAAACCCAACCAGUGGUUCCGCAUUUAUCCAGGAGGAAUUUCACUUCGUUUCGUGAUUUUUUCAAGGUGUGUUUUACCUCUCCCUUCAAUCUCCCUAGCCUGUGGGAAAUGAUCACUGUGCCUCUCAACCUUCUAGCCAUGAGUGGUCAAUGUUAUGAAUAUCUUAAGAAUUAAAUUUUAAAAAUCCAUAGAUUAAAAUAUUUAAAGAUUAAUCACAAAUGAGUCUUAAUUCAUUCUGUAAUAGAAUCAUAGUUCUUUUUGUUCUGAUCCACCGUGUCGAUGUCAUGUCUAAACUGGCAAGAUGUCCUACCUAAAUGUACUGCAGGGUGUGGGUUAAUCUUUGGGGAGAACUCUGUUACACCACAGUAGCAAAACAUUGCUCCAAAUCCCUGCGUAAUAUGCCCCCGUUUUGUCUGCAUCAUGGCUCUAAAAAUAAUCACGAACUAAACAAGUUCUUCCCUUGGAGAAUGAGUCUUCAGUAGAAAUCCAAACAGAGUCAUGAAAUACUUGUUUCCCCAGAAUGAAUCGGACACAGGCCAGGAGUUGGUAGACGCCCUGUCAAGCUAUGAAAUAUAUUUUGUAUGGUUUUUUUUUUUAAACAAAAUUGCUUGUAAUUUGUAUGUUAUUUCGUAGUGUUUUCCUUGCACUUACAAGCUAUUAUGAGUAUUUUCUUAUGUCAUCAAAGAGUUUCCUCCACCAUCCUUUUUAAUGGUUGCAGAGUAUUUCAUUGAAUGAUUGUCCCAUAGUUUAUUUCCCUAAAAUAUUAUUGUUGGAUGCUUGGAAUAAUUAUAUCUUAAGAUAAUUUAUUAAUUCAUUUGUCAAAUAUCCAGCAGGCACCAAACACAUGCCAGGCCUUCUAGGGAUAAAUAAGACACAGUCCUGGUCCUUAAGAAGCUCCCAUUCUGGGGGAAAGAUCUUAUGAUAAACUGUGCUAGAGGAAGAAUUCUAGUCACAGAAUAAUGGACGUGGCACAGGCCACAGGCCAGACUUCUCUAAUGGGUGGGGACUGUCCCUAAAGCCUGCUAACCUCUCUCACUCCAAAGUGCUCGGGCCCUGAGCUCCACCUCUCAGAGGUGGGAGGCUUACCUUGGGCCAGGUGCCAGCAGUCUCCUCUCCUUUCCACCUUCUGCUAGGAGAAUGGGUAUCAACCCUUCUGCAUUCUAGUCUCAGCUGGUAGAUUUUUGAAAAAGCCAAUGCCCAGGCUGAGCAAUAAUAACGAGGAAUGGGGCUUGAGUGGUGGUGUGCUGAUAAAUAUUGAACCAUCAUCUCUCAAAAAAGUAUGCAUGUUUAUACAUAAAGUAUGCUUAUUAUAAAUUUUACCGGUAAAAAGGUGUUUAGGACACAACUUACAAAUAAUUUAAAACAUGCAACACUCCUUCUUGUAAAUUCCAUACUAACAGUUGAUUCUUACAGAAAGAUCUUGCCAAACCAGAGUCAACCUCUGGUUUGCGAAUGACAAAGGAAUAGAGUUUUCCCAUGAACAUUGGUUUAUAUUUUCAUUUAUGUUCAUGUAAGAGCAGCUUCUGGCAGGAAAGAGCUCUCUGCAGGAGGCACCCUUCUGUCUUAACCUUAAACCAGGCACCCCCAUGCUCUACUCAUCUCCAGCCCAAGCACACCUUUCCAUUCUUUUAGCCACACAAUACUUUGCCUAACUUUUCAGUUCUUUCCAUAGAUCAAAGAAGUAGAAAUGAAGAAUAAGUAAUUAACUGAGGACCAGAUAUCUUUCCUAGCUUCCCCUUCAGUAAUCUCACGAACAGACUGUGUGAACAAGACAGCAUCUAAAGAAAGAUCACAAGUCAACAAGCCCGCACGUACGCCUGCACGCAGCGGGGGCUGGCGACAACUCUGACCCCUCAUCUCAAUGAUUAACUGAGAUUGCUUCUCUUUUUCCCCUUAAAAACUUGCAUGGCCGAGCAGAUUCUUCACAGGUGGUUGAUCCAUCAUCUCCCCAGAUUGCCAGCAUUCUGAUUAAAGGCACCUUUCCUUUGCUACCAACAUUUGUGAGUACUGAUUUUGUAGGUGGUGAGCAGCAACACCCAAUUCGUUCAAUAACAUUAAUAAGUAAGAUGAGGGGCUUCCCUGGUGGCGCAGUGGUUGAGAGUCCGCCUGCCAAUGCAGGGGACAUGGGUUCGAGCCCUGGUCUGGGAAGAUCCCACAUGCCGUGGAGCAACUAGGCCCGUGAGCCACAACUACUGAGCCUGCACGUCUGGAGGCUGUGCUCCACAACAGGAGAGGCCGCGAUAGUGAGAGGCCCGCGCACCGCGAUGAAGAGUGGCUCCCGCUCGCCGCAACUAGAGAAAGCCCUCGCACAGAGACGAAGACCCAACACAGCCAAAAUUAAAUAAAUAAAUAAAUUAAAUUAAAAAAAUAAUAAGUACGAAGAAAGUGAACCAACCAAAAAGUGUGACACGAGCAACUUCUGCUGGAUUGGAUGAUGGUUUUUGAAUACUGGAAGAAUAUUUUCUCCCCUUUUUUGGGUAUGAUUCAUAAUAUGACAGCUACAAAAAAUGGUACUUUUUGUAGUUUAAUCUGCACUAUUUACAUUUUCUCCAUCAAUUUCUUGAGUGUAGGAGUUCAGUGUAAAAACAAAUCAAGCACUGAUUUGUAGUACUUGCUGAUUCCUAUGGUGUAGAUUCUCCCGUGGCCAAUUGCGAACCACUGAUGUGACAUCACGACGUGCAGAGCUGGAAGGAGGUGUGCAGCAAUGCCUCAUUGUAUAGAAUUUCCAUGGCAAUGAUAAAAGAGACCGAAGGGCCUCAGAAACAUAGGUAAUAGUAAAAUGUAGUAAAGUAAUUAGGAAAUCAUGGCUUUUGAGUAUUUUCUACCAUUAAAAAAUGUAAUUUACUUAAUUAUAAGCUUAUAUAGCUUAAUGUUUGAUUAUAUCCUGCAACACUUGUGAAAAUUUAAUAACCAGCUGUCAUAGGCCAGUAAAAGCUAGUCAUCAUGUACCACUGGGUGGAAGCCCAGGCAGAGGGAUUUUUCCUAAGCUUCCCAAGUGAUUUUGAUAUCUAGCCAUGGUUGAGAACCACUACCCAGGGCAGAUGUCUUCAAACUUUUUUGCUGGUUGUUGGGAAGGGGAAAUUUUCCCCAUUACCUCCCUUGAGUUCUUGUGGCUGGACUAAUAAUAAAACUGACCACAGUCAGAUUAACAGGAGAAAACGAAAUAAAUUUUAAUUUGUGCACAUGGAGGUCUCACAGAAAUGGUACCUAAGAAGUGGCCAAAGCUUUUAUACUUUUUUAGACAAAGAAACAAUAAAUGUGUGAGGAAUUGACAAGACAAAGAAUCUCAGGCUUCCGCUGCUUAAUUAGUGAUGAAUCUAAACAGAGUUUAGUCUUGGGGGAGUCAAUGAAAGAGGUAACAAGGUUUGUUUAUACCGGCUUCUCAGCUCCAAAUUUCCUGUCUCUGUUGAUAAGGGUGCAGGUGACGUAAUUCUCUCUGAGCAUGGGCAUCAAGUGCUAGAAAAAGCCUUCUGAGUUACCAUUAUGAUUAUCACCAGUUCACAAUUGAUUCAGGAACAGAACAUUUUGGCAAAUUACUUAGUUAUUAAACAAAAAAGUAAAAUGUUCUUGGAAAUGCAUCUCCAUGUAUAGAGAUGUAUAGAGAUUUUUCUCUCUGUUAGUUCAUGCUCACGAGUGUUUAUUAUUACAAGAAUGCAGCAGGGGCCAGCAUCAGUUCUAUUUCUAUUUUCCACUUUUAUAGAUGUAAGUUCUGAGAAGGCUUUCUCACAUAAACAAGUAGGUGGGAAUAGGAGAGGGUUUGCUUCAGACUUUACCCAAUUCUUCGAUUUGUUAAAGAGAAAAGCCACAGGCCCCAAAUGGCCACUUGUUCUAAAGCCCAUGAUACUGAUGCUGAAAACUCAACCCCUAUGCACCAGUGCCAAAGCAAAUCUUGGAGACAAAGUUGUGGGUGAAGUAGAAAAGAAUAGCCUUAUUGCUUUGCAGGCAAAGGGAGACACGGUGGGCUCAUAUCCCUCAAAACGGUGUGUCCCAACCCAGGGGGAUUUGGUGAGGAGUUUUAUAGCAAUGGUUCAAGGGUGGAGUUGCUGUUAAGGACCGGGGUGUGUGCAGGGCCUGCACUCCUUUAAUCUGGGCUAACAUGGUCUCCUGAUGAGCUUCUCUGGUUCUCCAGAAAUGAAGAAUGCUUUAUCAAGUGGUUAAAAUCUUCCAUUUGCUGGGGGUUUUAGUUCUGUAGAUGAGCUCAAAGAUACUGUUAUAUGUAUCCCCUGAGGCAGGACCAGGGCCUGCCCCAAGGCUGCAUUAUUGUUUCCUGACUGCUCCUGCAUUGUCUCUGCAUAACCUCCCUUCCCUGACUAGCAACUGUAUGAACCUGCCCUUUGGAACUCAGGGAAGGUCAAGAGAUGGGGGGACACAGAAAGGCUUUUGUGCCCAGGAGCCCCAUAGUGUCUGCUCAGUUUCAAUACCAAACCCGAAUUUAAUACCUGACCUAAUUGCAGUUUCAACCUUCUCCUAGAAGGUAGUCUUAAUUGGCCAGUCCAGAAUUUUCUGGUCAGCUCUGAUGAAGUUAUCUGUCACAGGAGCCCUCUCUAUCUCCCAACGGAAGAAGAGGUAAUCUGCAUGGUAGACCCUCACCCUUCCCCCAAAAGAAAGUGACCAGGUCUGAGACAAUCUUUUCUUUUGUUAAUAACUUCUUUGCCCCGUUCAUCUUCUAUGCAAACCCUCCAUUCUGUACAGCUCCUGAAACACCUCUCCGGUUGCUAGGUAGGAUGUUCCCUGAUCUGUGAAUCACUGAAUAAAGCCAAAUAGAGCCAAUUUACUUGGUUGAAUUUUUGGUUUUUAACAGAUUGUUUUCCAAGUUGUGUGCCAAAAUUCCCAUAAUUAUCUCUCAUCAAAAAUGACUUUUAAUACUCUAUCAGAACAGUUAGGUCCAUCUUCAAUUUAGUUGGAAGAAUGGAAACCCUCUGACUAACACAAAGGGUAUUUAGACGUGGGUAUUUCUAACUGUCCCUUUGUUUCGCAUUCUGAGGUCUUUUACACCCCAAGUGUUGACUGAAAAAAAAAAAGCACAACCUAAAAGUUGAGCAUUAUGCUUCACUUGGCAGACAAAAUUGAGGACAUGAGCCCGGGACACAGCCUCUCAGAUAGCUCUGAGGGACUGCUCUGAAGAGGUCAGCGGGGAGCCAGGAUAGGUAGGAGUUUUUGCUGCAAAGACCAGGCAGUCAGAACAUCAAACGAUUACUGUUAAUUAAAGAAAACCAGAUAUCUCAAGUUAAGCAAUUUAGCGCUUUUCUUUGUAUGGGAAGUUGCAAGGGUCUGGGCUCAUUGAAAGCAUUCCCUUGAAAUGUACCCCAGCUCUCUGGGGCCAGCAUCCUGUGCUUUCUCAUCCCAAGUCUCUAGUCAGGGUGCACCGUUGGAGAGUGGCUGCAGUGGCUGACUGCUAGGUGGUGGGCAUCCUGUUUCCAUCCUGAGUUUCCUCAGGGCUCGCCGUGGGGGGUGGCUGUAAAGAGAUGGCUUGA